UUUGUCUCUCCCUUUCUCUCUCUCCCUCUACACUUUGUCUGUCUGUCUGUCUGUCUGUCUGUCUGUCUGUCGUGGAGUGGGAAAGCGGAGGAGCCGAAGAAGGACUAUGAGGUAGUGAUGAGGGAGUACAGGGAGAGUGGAGUAGGAUCCUCUGCCCCCUCCAAAAAGGUGAAGGAAAAGAAGGGAGGGAAGAGUGAUGAGAAGAAUAAGAAGGGGAAAUCUGGUGGMGGGAGAGAGAGAGGGUGACAGGAAACGACAGCUUUAAGAGCAGGGAGUUUAUCUCCAGUGAAGAGAGCUCCUCAGAGUCAGACAGUGGCAAGGGCAAACGCAAGGGUUCAGAUGAAAAAGAGGUGGCCUCGACCCCACCCAGUUCUGACUCAGGAUCAGACUGAGGAGAGGGAAGGACAUGGAGAGGGAAAAGAGUGCAAAGUGUGGAGAGGGGUUGUGAACUCUCUACGGCCCUCUGUUCCUCUCUCACGCRAAUUAUAUUCAAUUUUAAAGUACAUGAAGCAAGUAUGAAGAUAAUUCAUACCGAUCUAUUCAAAAAAUAUUCUGUCCAGGAAUUGUAAAACUAUCCCUCUUAUCUCAGGAAGCAAAAUACAGUAUUUAAUUAUUUUAGCCCAGUGCAAAAAUCCCAUAACCUGACCAGUGAUGACUAUAUUUCCCAGCUACACGUGCAUGACACUGUCUGUCGGUUUAGGCUGUGAACAACUCUUGCCUACUGUGAAAUGUAGUUUUCCAGAAUAUUACUAAAUUAAAUAUUAUAAGUAAAUGCUC